UUUUUUCUUUGCUCUUGACACCUUCCAUCCUUUUGGAAAAAAUCCCCCUUUUUCAAGCUGUCUUGUCACUUGUCAUGAAAUGCUUAGGUUGAUCCAUGUUACAUUUCCAUCCACAGCCAUUAGCUAGUAAUUACUUGCUUCUUGAUAUGCCUUACAUCUUGGAUUGAAUUUUGCGGAAUAGGACUUAUUCCAGUCUCCCUAGGAUAUUGUCUUCUGUAUCACUGAGGAGACCUAUCUUCAUGCCAGCACAACUGAGAUCUGGAAUCUUAUCCUAGCUCCCAUACGCAUUGGAAUCCCCAGCUAGAAGUUGUGCUUACGGCAGAGAGCAUUAAUGACAGAGGAGUAGACACAGUGAGCCAAAAUGCUGGCAUAAGGGGUUGAUUUUUCAAAAAAUAUUUGUGAGCAACAAAUUGAGGGUGUUUUUGUUAAUUGUGUUGUAAACUUUCAUUUUUCCCUUUUAUAGCAUAUUUUGAUCAAGUAGAAGUGCAAUGCUAGCCUAAGGUAAAUUGGGAAUUCAGUCCUUUGGAUGCAAUUGCUUGUUGUUUUUCUUUCCAUUCCUGACGAAGAACAUUUUGAUGUCAUUAAAACACCUAGUGCCUGAUGACUGAAAUUCCAUCAUGCAGCAUAACUUAGAAAGUAUAUAUCAAACUCUUGAAAGAUGUAAUCUGCUUCUUCAGUCACCAGUGACCAAGUGUGCACCUGCAUGUGGGGAGGUAGGGGGGUUGUGUACUGAGGGAAGGAAAUCUGUUUUGUCUUCAGAAAUGUUACUAUUAGAAUGACUUACAGGUGAUAUUUUAGGUAUGGUAUCUUGCAUCUUGUAAUUCAGGAAGCCUAAAAACACAGCACAAGCAAAUUUUAAGAAGUAACAGCUUUUGUUUCAAGAAAACUUUUAGCCUAUAGUGGUACGAGCAUGGUGCAACCCAUUGCUGUGAAUGUGUAUGGAUGCCCUGUGGCUAGGGAGCUGCUGCUCCUCCAUCACCUUCCUCACUCCCUGUUUGUGAGCCCAUCUGUUGGGAAAGAUAUCUCUCAGCAUGACAUCCAACAGUGUUUUGCAAACUGGAAGGCAAGAGGGAGGCAGAGAGGGAAGAGUGAGGGUACAUCAGCAUAUGUGGACAAAGGGGUAAGUAUUUAUGGAGCUUCUGAGAACAUAUAUGAAGAUAGGGUGGGAGAAGGGCACUAAAGCAGCACAGAGCCUGGAGUGCCAUGAAGAGCUGAGAGUUUAGGAUGAAGUACCAGGCAGGAUGCACCUCCCAGGGAAAGGCUUUCAUAACUUUUUCAUCUCCAGUUUGCACAUUGGGUGGUGGUAGGGGACACCUGAGGAAUGGGAUGUGGUGUGGAAUUUAUGGAAGGUUGUUAGACUGAGAACCUGAGGUCUAAGGAAAACCAUCCUUUUAAAGAUGAGGAAAGAGGAGUGGCUCUCAUUAGCCAUGUUUUAGGCCACUGAUGAUCCCAUUGCUGCUGAGUUGGAACCACAGGAUUACCAGCUGCAUGUUUUUAAUAGAUUCAGAGUCAUCCUGGUUUCUGUUUCUGUCAUUUUGCACUGAGUGACUACAUGAAAUCCCUAUUCCCAGUCAUGUUGGAAGCCAAUUCUUGCUACCUCAAACACAAUCAGAAUUGUGUUAAGUCAGUUACCAUGCUAAGAUGUUACCAACUUGUCUUUCUCUUGCUUGUAAACUAGACAAAAAGAGAUUUGGGAGUCCUUUGUGGUGAUGUAAGAUCACUUACCUUCAGUGUCAUUAGUGAAUCUUCCUGUACUUGGAUCAGGUAUAAUGAGAAUUCUUAGUUAUACUUCUAAUUGGCAUCAUGUUCCUCUUCUUAAUCAUUUUGAUUUUUAUAAAAAGUGUAUCUAAGAUGAAAAAGCUUUUCAAACUACACAUUUGUGAAUAGCAUUUGUCUCCUUCAAACCACCAUUUGCCCCCCCACGUCCAUUCUGAGGAUGUAAAGUGAAUUUUCAGUGUUUAUGGUGUACACAUAGUAAUGUAGACUUUCAGAUUCUUUUCUCACAGAAAGACAAAGCUAUCAAAUUCCUGAUAGAGCAUUAGUAGUUCUGGAAACAAUAAAUGCACAUUUAUAAAAUCCUGAAAGAUAAUUAAUUUUUCUAGCAGAUAUUACUGGUUUAAAUUCUAAUAAUGCAAGAAACUGGUAAUGUGCAGAUGUUUAAAAUUGUAGAUUGGAUGUCCAGACCGAGGAAAGUAAAAACAUAUGCAUAUAACACAAACAGUGGGAAAAAAUUGCAUUUUAAAAAUUUAUUAUUAGUCACUGACUUCCAUACUCCAUUGGAAGAAUGUUUCUUGAACUGAAUGAGAGGUUGAAGACAGCUACUUAAACAUCCAAUUUGGGGAAAAUUUUCAACAAACAGUGUUAAUAAUAUCAAGGAGUGAAAAUUUAAUUUGCAUUAUUGAGAGUCACAUGAUUUGAGAUUUUAACAUAUAUAUAAAGAGUAUUUUAUUCCUAAGGCAAGAAAAAUAGGUAUCUUGUAUAUAUUAAAUGUCAGACCAUUAAUAUUGCUGACUACUCCUUUUUACUCAGUAAUAUACUUCAGUGAUAAGUAUAUUUGAAAAUAACUUUUUAAGAUAAAAGAUCAUACUGGAAGUGUCACUUCUAGCUUCUUUGCCAAGUAUUCUCAUGGUUGAACUAGAAAAUUUUCCUUUUUUAGUCUGCUCUCAGUGAUGUGAUAUAUAAUUACCUUACCACAGUAUAAUGUGUUCAGCUGACACCUGCUGAGCUCACCCCAUUUGCUGAGUGAAAAAUGUUGACCUGAAUCAACUCCACUGAAAGUUACCUUCUGGUUGGGAUGGAAAAUUAUGAGUACUGCUCAUCAUUGGUUACAACGAGUCAAGGAGCAGGUCAGAACUCAUUAAGCCCAUCACACUGCUGAGUCUAGUACCCUAAGUUAUCACACAGACUUAAACAGGCAGAUGGUAGAGAGCUAGCUUUUGAAAGAGCUCUAAAAUGUGUAGAUAUGCAACUUAAUCUUUGAGCUUUAGUACAGUGCUGGAUUCAGAUGUCUGUAGAUUUCUUGUAAAGAUCUUGAAUCAAACUGCAAGCACACUUCCAAGCUAGAGUGAUAACCUUAGUGAUAAUUACUGUCUAAAAGCAGAGGACAAGGUCUGGUAUGCUGGUGAAUUGGGAACUAGACCUUUUUCUGUCACUCAUUUGCUUUGCUGACUUGGCCAAACCUGCUUGAACAUCUCUGCUUCAUUUUUCUUAUUCAGAAUAUAAGAUAGAUAUAUCCUGAAAAGUGCAUUUCUGUGCUUACUUACAAUACACUUUUUGUAAAGCACUUGGAAGAUGAAAAUCUGCUCAAGAAAAACUGUGUGGCCUUGAGUCUCUUGUUCCUCCUUAAUACACUGUCAGGCACUUAAUGAGAGAGCUCUUGACUCAGCAGAAAGUGUGCCCUCAAUUCUUAAGCUUCAAGACUUUUGUAUUGCUGAAUCACAUCAGCAUAACAGUGCAAUAAAUUAUAUUGUCCAUUUCUUAGCAAGCAGAGGAGGAGGGAAUGGACUCCAGCUUACAUGAACAGUUUAAUGGUAAAACCUGAAUUAUGCUAGAGUAUCCACAUGUGCAACUGCGCGCAGUUUGGGGUCGUGUUGGUAACUUCAGAGUAGGAGCAUAAUUGCUUCUGUAUCACUUUGUUCCAUGAAUGUGAAGCUCAUGUGAAUACUGUAUUACCUGUGGCAAUGCAGACAGUGCUUCAUUAAUAAUACAAGAAUGCUCUGGGUUUUCUGGUCUUGAGGAGAGAAGGAGCAGCGUGAGUACACGGCCAAAAUUAUUUCAGCAGCGAAGAUGCUUAUUUAGGUGUGGCAAAAGACCUGCAGAAACUCACUAUUUCAGAGAGUAUCAAAAAUGCUGGACAAAGGAGAGAGCUAGCAACUGUCACACCAGCUGGAGAGCAGAAUAAGUGAAUCUGGGGCUGCUCUUCUGUCCUGUUGUGGUUGUGCAGAGCUGUAUGCCAGGACGGGCAUGUCACAGCAGGGGACACCGGGCACAUCACAGCACUGUUCUGGAAGGAGCUGUGAAAGUGCAGGCUGACAAUGAGCUUGUAGAGAUGGGGUCACAAAAUUCUGAUGCUGUGGAGAACGGUCGGCUCCUUGAAACUCAACUUCACCGACCUCAGAUGCAUCCAGAAACUAUAUCACCCUGGGAGGAAGAAUGGAGCUCAGGUAGGUGUACUCUUUUAUCACUACAUUUUUUUUCUCUUUACUUAUUCAUGGGCCCUGAAUCUACUUUUAUUUACUUACUCUUCUUCCCCCUACUUCUCAAAACACUGACAGACCUACAAAGACAGAAAACAGGAACUGCCUUUUGAAGUAGGCUGGUUUAUUUCAACAGCAUGCACUGGCAGUCAGAGAUGGAAAGAAGAUAGAAAAGACUAGGCUUCAGAUGGGGAAUUUGGAGAGGCAUCUUCUUCACAUCUGUGGAAAACUUCGCAUGAGAGGAUGAAAGGAUAACAUUUUCUCCAAAAUUUUCAAGCGCAUUAAACCAAGAUUUCUGUAAAAUGAACCAGGUUUGGGGGGUGGAAUAUAUGCUUGGAGAAACACAGAAGAACUGGAGAGGAACAGGAAUGUGGAUGAAGUCCUUAAGGAUCUCUAGAGAGGGCAAAUGUAGAUUCAGCAAAGCUUUAUGAGACAAAACAUCCAUGAGGUGUAUUCUCCUGCAGCUUAGCUGUGCAGCCCUCUAUCCUUUUGGGACUUUCCCUGUACUUGUACCUGCUGGCCAAGUGGCUGGUGUAGCAUGCCACAAUUUCUGCACAGCCCCAGAGGAAAAUCACAGUAGUGAUGAGUGUUUGUAUUCUUAUCUCAGAAUUGAGUAGAAACAAGAAGAAAUUUCACACAGUUUUCUAGCCUGAUCAUCUUUAGGAAAAAGACAUGGAAAAUCAUGACGUAUCUAUUUGUCUGCUGGUUUGCAUACCUUUAGAGGAUUCUCUCACUUCUACGUCUUAUUUUUGGACUAUUCUUGGCCAAUUUCAGAGAAAAAAUCAUAGAUUAAUAGUAAUCUCAAAGCCUAUGAAGUUGUUACAAUGUUUGGGAAGAGAGGUGACCCAGGAGGUGAUAGAUUCCAGAUAGGAAGGAGGCCUUUUAAGAGAUCCAGACCAGGAAGAUGGCUGUAGCUGAAGUUUAAACCUGUUUUUUAUGUGACAGUCCAGCGAACACAAGACAAGAAGUUGUAGGAGGAAAGUAUGAUCUGUUCUUUGUGAUACUCACAGACCAGCUUCUUAAGUGACUGUACAUCAGAGCUGUUUUCACCACUACUCAAUAAAAUUGUUAUAUAUGGUG